rnacentral:rRNA from 1 species
AACGAACGCUGGCGGCAUGCCUAACACAUGCAAGUCGAACGAGACCUUCGGGUCUAGUGGCGCACGGGUGCGUAACGCGUGGGAACCUGCCCUUAGGUUCGGAAUAACUCCCCGAAAGGGGUGCUAAUACCGGAUAAUGUCUUCGGACCAAAGAUUUAUCGCCUUUGGAUGGGCCCGCGUUGGAGUAGCUAGUUGGUAGGGUAAAAGCCUACCAAGGCGACGAUCCAUAGCUGGUCUGAGAGGAUGAUCAGCCACACUGGGACUGAGACACGGCCCAGACUCCUACGGGAGGCAGCAGUGGGGAAUAUUGGACAAUGGGCGAAAGCCUGAUCCAGCAAGGCCGCGUGAGUGAUGAAGGCCUUAGGGUUGUAAAGCUCUUUUACCCGGGAUGAUAAUGACAGUACCGGGAGAAUAAGCUCCGGCUAACUCCGUG